CGCGGGGCUCGCGGGGAUGUGUGUGCGUGGAGAGUAUACGUCAAAUGAAAGGAUGAACAUGAGAAACUGAAGGCCAGAGACAGAUUAGUUGCAAUGUGAGAAAAGAACAAAAAUUAGGUACCAUUAUGGAAUCCAAGUUAGAAGACUUUCAAACCUGAAACAAAUUGCACUGAACAUCAAAGACAAAGAAGACAGAGAAAAUGGUACUUGGACAGUGACAAAGAGACUUGCAUACUGGAAACUGGGAGAGAAACAUUUUUGUAGAGCAAUUAGGUGAGUGCCAGACCACAUGGAAUUGUGUGGGAAAUGGAUGGAAUGAAUAUGGAAACAUCAGGUCCAAGUGAUUGCGGUGCAUUAACUGUGUACAGAAGUGGGCAGAUGGAUAGCCAGGCGUGUUUCCACCAGAAGCUUCGAAGACUUCAGGGAUAUCUUAUCAAAGCAGGACAAAUAAGUUCAAAUGAAACCUUAUGAAAACAAGAUAACCCACUUCAAGUGUCUAUUCCACAUCUCAGCUUGGCACAAAUCAAAAUUGCUUAGUUAACCUGCCUCUUGAAAAACAGAGCCUGUAAUGAAAAAACUGUCAGAAAUUUAACAACAGCAGCUCUGCCAGGAGCGUGGAUAGUGGGAAGGUUGCUGAGUUACAGAGGAAUACAAGGGCAGCUGAGAACCAACCUGGUUUCUUAAUCGCUGGGAGGAAAACUACUCCUGAAGGACCACAGCUUCUUCUCUCAGAAGUAUUACUCUAAGACUCUGAAGCCAGUGCUCUUUUACUUGAGAGAAGGAAAUCUUGUGAUCUGCUUAAUCUUAGUCAUGACAAGAUUUAGCCAAAAGAACGGAAAGGAUUCUAUUUAAUUAUGUUGAGUUUUCAUAAAUGCUGGUGAAACUUAUACAAUGAGAGAAUUUCACACACUCAUAAGGCACUAUUCACAUUUAUCUGAAAUACUACUAACAAUUGCGAGAACGGUAUUAAACAGAAAAUAUAUUGAAAUACUAUAGCAAUUUAAAACAUUGUGUUCAAUUUUU